UACGGGGGGGGUAAGCGUUGUUCGGAAUUACUGGGCGUAAAGGGCUCGUAGGCGGCCAACUAAGUCAUACGUGAAAUCCCUCAGCUUAACUGGGGAACUGCGUGUGAUACUGGAUGGCUUGGAUUUGGGAGAGGGAUGCGGAAUUCCAGGUGUAGCGGUGAAAUGCGCAGAUAUCGGGAGGAACACCCGUAGCGAAGGCGGCACUCUGGGCCGGAACUGACGCUGAGGAGCGAAAGCGUGGGGAGCAAACAGG
rnacentral:rRNA from 1 species